rnacentral:rRNA from 1 species
GAUGAACGCUGGCGGCGUGCCUAACACAUGCAAGUCGAGCGAACAGACCAGGACUUUUCUCCUCUGACUUUAUCGCCGGACGGGUGAGUAACACGUGGACAACCUACCUAUACGACUGGGAUAACUUCGGCAAACCGGGGCUACUACCGGAUAAUAUAUUGAACCUCAUUGUUCCAUCGUUAAAGUCGGUUUUUCUGUCACUAAUAGCUGGCUCCGCCCCGCAUUAGCUAGUUGGCAAGGUAACGGCUUACCAACGCAACGAUGCGUAGCCGACCUGAGAGGGUGAUCGGCCACACUGGCACUGAGACACGGCCCAGACUCCUACGGGAGGCAGCAGUAGAGACUCUUCCGCGAUGGGCGAGAGCCUGACGGAGCAACGCCGCGUGAGUGAUGAAGGUCUUCGGAUCGGAAAACUCUGUUAUUAGGGAAGAACAAAUGUGUAAGUAACUAUGAACGUAUUGACGGUACCGAAACAGAAAGCCACGGCUAACUACGUG